UAGUUAUAUGCUUGUCUAAAAGAUUAAGCCAUGCAUGUCUAAGUAUAAACCAAUUCAUACGGUGAAACUGCGAAUGGCUCAUUAUAUCAGUUAUAGUUUAUUUGAUGAUGUACUCCACAUGGAUAACCGUGGUAAUUCUAGAGCUAAUACAUGCAAUUAAAGCGUUUAACGCUGUAUUUAUUAGAUAAGCCAACAGCGGUCUCGGCCGUUUCGUUGAUUCAUGAUAACUUUACGAAUCGCCUUGCGCGAUGUAUCAUUCAAAUUUCUGCCCUAUCAA
rnacentral:rRNA from 1 species